UAUCCUCAACCUUCUUGGUUUAUUGAUCAAGAAGGCUUGGAAUUUGGAGGCUUUUGCUGGCUUUCUCUCAAAGCCAGCUCCUCUUAAAUGAAUUAGUAGGGUCUACUUUGCUGAUCCUUGACGUGCUAAGAUACUUUCUACGUCUUGUGUUUUUGCAAACCUGCUUCUAACUCAUAUAUAUAUAUAUAAAC
rnacentral:misc_RNA from 1 species